GCAUUCCUGAGGAGGCUGUUUGGAGGCAUGAGACACAUUUUGGCCAACCAGUUUGAGUUAUCACUGGGCUAGAAAGAGUCAUCGAACCUAAACCGACAACCAGUGUUGAGGAGACUACUGGCUGUCUUGUGUAAACAAGAUUAGAGGAGAUCUAAGAGUCUUCACUGGAUAUGGGAGGGAACAAACUGGUCAAUCCA